rnacentral:misc_RNA from 1 species
GCUUAGUUGAGUUGAGUUGAGUUCAAGAAACUAAUUCCAUAACAAAACAAAAGCAAUUUUCUUUCAAUGGCUGUAGUCACCUCUCCAUUAACCAAUUCUAAGCCUUACCCUUUUUUUGGCUACUAACUGUGUGAAAGCAUCAUAUACAAUCUCUAACACAUCGUCUACAGUCCUAAAUUCUGAUCAGUGUAACCCAAAAUUAUUUCUGCUAAAAACCAUCUCCAAACGUGAAAACUCAAGUCUUUUCACUGCUUCAAACAAGAAAAGCAGCAGUGGAGCUGUUCUGGCAAUGGCUAAUACUAAUGGUCCAUUUUUGAAUCAGGACCAAAGCAAAAGAAAUGUAGGAGAAUUUUAUUAUCAUAUGGUGGUGAUGAGAGGAAGGAACGUGCAUGGGGGAGGAAAGGGAACUUACUGGAUAUUGGCACUGCUGGUUUUGUUUUGGCAAUGUAUUUGCUUAGUUUGUUUAUUCCCUUUUAUUUCAGUUGGGUUGCUUUUGGACUCCUUUUUUUUUUUUUAAAUAGACUUUUGGUCUCUUAUGUUGUUACAGGACUUUGGGCAUUGCUCUUUUUUAUCAUAGGAAUCUUUCGCACAUGAGCUUCAAGCUUCCCAAAUGGCU